rnacentral:rRNA from 1 species
UACGUAGGGUGCGAGCGUUAAUCGGAAUUACUGGGCGUAAAGCGUGCGCAGGCGGUUUGCUAAGACCGAUGUGAAAUCCCCCGGGCUUAACCUGGGAACUGCAUUGGUGACUGGCAGGCUAGAGUAUGGCAGAGGGGGGGUAGAAUUCCACGUGUAGCAGUGAAAUGCGUAGAGAUGUGGAGGAAUACCGAUGGCGAAGGCAGCCCCCUGGGCCAAUACUGACGCUCAUGCACGAAAGCGUGGGGAGCAAACAGG